rnacentral:rRNA from 1 species
AGCGUAGACGGCGACGCAAGUCUGAAGUGAAAUACCCGGGCUCAACCUGGGAACUGCUUUGGAAACUGUGUUGCUAGAGUGCUGGAGAGGUAAGCGGAAUUCCUAGUGUAGCGGUGAAAUGCGUAGAUAUUAGGAAGAACACCAGUGGCGAAGGCGGCUUACUGGACAGUAACUGACGUUGAGGCUCGAAAGCGUGGGGAGUAAACA